rnacentral:rRNA from 1 species
GAGUUUGCUCCUGGCUCAGGAUGAACGCUGGCGGCGUGCUUAACACAUGCAAGUCGAACGGAGAUGUUGCAGCAGAAGCGAAUAGCUUGCUAUGAGUGGAAACAGUGGCAUCUUAGUGGCGGACGGGUGAGUAACGCGUGGGCAACCUGCCCUGCACUGGGGGAUAACACUUAGAAAUAGGUGCUAAUACCGCAUAAUAAAAUAUAUUGCAUGAUAUAUUUUUGAAAGCUGCGGCGGUGCAGGAUGGGCCCGCGUCUGAUUAGCCAGUUGGUGGGGUAACGGCCCACCAAAGCGACGAUCAGUAGCCGGCCUGAGAGGGUGAACGGCCACAUUGGGACUGAGACACGGCCCAAACUCCUACGGGAGGCAGCAGUGGGGGAUAUUGGACAAUGGGGGGAACCCUGAUCCAGCGACGCCGCGUGAGUGAAGAAGUAUUUCGGUAUGUAAAGCUCUAUCAGCGGGGAAGAAAAGAAUGACGGUACCUGAAUAAGAAGCCCCGGCUAACUACGUGCCAGCAGCCGCGGUAAUACGUAGGGGGCAAGCGUUAUCCGGAUUUACUGGGUGUAAAGGGAGCGCAGACGGCAAUGCAAGCCUGGAGUGAAAGGCGGGGGCCCAACCCCCGGACUGCUCUGGGAACUGUAUAGCUAGAGUGCAGGAGAGGCAAGUGGAAUUCCUAGUGUGGCGGUGAAAUGCGUAGAUAUUAGGAGGAACACCAGUGGCGAAGGCGGCUUGCU